AGAAUCAUUCACAAUGGGCGCAAGCCUGAUGGUGCGACGCCGCGUGGGGGAUGAAGGGCUUCGGUCUGUAAACCCCUGUCAUCUGUGAGUAAGGUCUCGUAUAAAAGCUACGAGAAUUGAUAUUAGCAGAAGAGGAAGGGACGGCUAACUCUGUGCCAGCAGCCGCGGUAAUACAGAGGUCCCAAGCGUUGUUCGGAUUUACUGGGCGUAAAGGGUGCGUAGGCGGUUAGAAAAGUUUGGUGUGAAAUCUUCGGGCUCAACCCGGAAACUGCACUGAAAACUAUUUAACUAGAGGAUCGGAGAGGAGAUUGGAAUUCUCAGUGUAGCAGUGAAAUGCGUAGAUAUUGAGAGGAACACCAGUUGCGAAGGCGGAUCUCUGGACGAUUCCUGACGCUGAGGCACGAAAGCUGGGGGAGCGAAGAGGAUUAGAUACCCUCGUAGUCCCAGCCGUAAACGGUGCGCACUUGCUGUGGGCGGAUUCGACCCCGUCCGUGGCGAAGCUAACGCGUUAAGUGCGCCGCCUGGGGAGUACGGUCGCAAGAUUAAAACUCAAAGAAAUUGACGGGGGCCUGCACAAGCGGUGGAGUAUGUGGCUUAAUUCGAUGCAACGCGAAGAACCUUACCUGGCCUUGACAUGUAGUGGCCCGGGUGCGAAAUCACCCUUUUCUUCGGAACUGCUACACAGGUGCUGCAUGGCUGUCGUCAGCUCGUGUCGUGAGAUGUUGGGUUAAGUCCCGCAACGAGCGCAACCCCCGUGUUCUGUUGCCACCCGGAUGAGAAUCCGGAGCACUCUGGACAGACUGCCUGGUUUCAACCAGGAGGAAGGUGGGGAUGACGUCAAGUCAGUAUGGCCCUUACGGCCAGGGCUGCACACGUACUACAAUGCCCGGUACAAUGGGAAGCGAGACCGCGAGGUGGAGCAAAUCCUAAAAACCGGGCCCAGUUCAGAUUGUAGGCUGCAACUCGCCUACAUGAAGGAGGAAUCGCUAGUAAUGCCGUAUCAGCUACGACGGCGUGAAUACGUUCCCAGGCCUUGUACACACCGCCCGUCACAUCAUGAAAGUCGAUUGUACCCGAAGUCGCCGAGUUAACCGCAAGGAGACAAGCGCCGAAGGUAUGGUUGGUAAUUGGGAUGAAGUCGUAACAAGGUAGCCGUAGGGGAAC
rnacentral:rRNA from 1 species